rnacentral:rRNA from 1 species
AGCGAACGCUGGCGGCAGGCCUAACACAUGCAAGUCGAACGACCUCUUCGGAGUUAGUGGCGGACGGGUGAGUAACACGUGGGAACGUGCCUUUAGGUUCGGAAUAACUCAGGGAAACUUGUGCUAAUACCGAAUGUGCCCUUCGGGGGAAAGAUUUAUCGCCUUUAGAGCGGCCCGCGUCUGUUUAGCUAGUUGGUGAGGUAAAGGCUCACCAAGGCGACGAUCAGUAGCUGGUCUGAGAGGAUGAUCAGCCACAUUGGGACUGAGACACGGCCCAAACUCCUACGGGAGGCAGCAGUGGGGAAUCUUGCGCAAUGGGCGAAAGCCUGACGCAGCCAUGCCGCGUGAAUGAUGAAGGUCUUAGGAUUGUAAAAUUCUUUCACCGGGGACGAUAAUGACGGUACCCGGAGAAGAAGCCCCGGCUAACUUCGUG